GCCACGGUAGCUCAGUGGUAGAGCAGAGGACUGAAAAUCCUUGUGUCGGUGGUUCAAUUCCUCCCCGUGGCACCA
rnacentral:tRNA from 2 species